rnacentral:lncRNA from 1 species
AUCCCAUUCUGUUGUUGAUUCAAUAUCAUUGUAUAAUCUCCUCAGAUUUCCCCUCUUUUCUCUUGAGUGAAUGACAUGAUGACAUGUCUUUUAUGAUGACAAAAUCUCCCCACAUGUUAAUGCUUGUCCCUUAUAUUGGAAAAUAUUUAGUUUGUGCCCCAUUUUUUUCCUCAGUUCUGAAAUACUGAACAAAUUCUCAAAAAUCUUCCCGCUUUUCUCUCCAGGUGUGUGACUGAGAUCAGGGUUCUUAUCGUACUGAGCAUGGCCCUGUUCUGCCAGGUGCUGCAGAGCCCCCAACUGAGAUCUGGGUCCUGUUCUGCCAGGCACUGAAGAGACCCCACGUGAGAUCAGAUCCCACUGUUGUGCCAGAGUUUCCAGUUUCCAAACUGAAUGUGACCUCGUGGCUGGAAGGAGGGGAAGAGCCGUGGGUUCAACACCUCCAGGGCUCUGAGAAAGAAGUGCUCCCGAGAGCUGCCUGCACAGGUGAGAGUAGUGGUUCCUCAUUCUCCCGCUCAGAAGGAGGCCACUUGG